GCGUAAUCUACAGGAUUACGCAAUGUCGAAGCGAAGGUGCUAAGCUCGCCGCCUGGGAAGUAUAGUCGCAAGACCGAAACUUAAAGGAAUUGGCGGGGGAGCACUACAAGGGGUGCGGCGUGCGGUUUAAUCGAACUCAACGCCGAGAAUCUCACCAGCAGCGACGGCAGGAUGAAGGUCAGAUUGAAGGUCUUACCUGACAAGCCGAGAGGUGGUGCAUGGCCGUCGUCAGCUCGUGCCGUGAGGUGUCCAGUUAAGUCUGGCAACGAGCGAGACCAACACCUACAAUUGCCAGCGACAAGCUUGCCUGGAUCGGGCACAAUGUAGGGACUGCCCGGGAAACCGGGAGGAAGGUGUUGUCUACGGUAGGUCUGUAUGCCCCGAAUCUGCUGGGCUACACGCGCGCAACAAUGGUAGGGACAAUGGGAUGCGACUCCGAAAGGAGAAGCUAAACCUCGAAACCCUAUCCAAGUCCAGAUUGUGGAUUGUAACUCAUCCACACGACGAUGGAAUCCCUAGUAAUCGGAUGUCAACAUCAUCCGGUGAAUAUGUCCCUGCUCCUUGCACACACCGCCCGUCAAACCACCCGAGUAGGGUUUAGGUGAGGUCUAGUUUUUUGACUAGGUCGAAUCUAAGCCUUGCGAGGUGGGUUAAGUCGUAACAAGGUAGCC
rnacentral:rRNA from 1 species